UGCCGAGAUGGUGGAAUGGCAGACACGGAAGCCUCAAAAGCUUCUGCCCUUCGGGGCGUGCGGGUUCGAGUCCCGCUCUCGGCACCC
rnacentral:tRNA from 1 species